UAUUAGUGUCCCUGGAAUCAAUCCUUUUC
rnacentral:piRNA from 1 species